UACGUAGGGUGCAAGCGUUAAUCGGAAUUACUGGGCGUAAAGCGUGCGCAGGCGGUUGUGCAAGACAGAUGUGAAAUCCCCGGGCUCAACCUGGGAAUUGCAUUUGUGACUGUACGGCUAGAGUGUGGCAGAGGGGGGGUAGAAUUCCACGUGUAGCAGUGAAAUGCGUAGAGAUGAUGGAGGAAUACCGAUGGCGAAGGCAGCCCCCUGGGAUAACACUGACGCUCAUGCACGAAAGCGUGGGGAGCAAACAGG
rnacentral:rRNA from 1 species